ACUCCUGCGGGAGGCAGCAGUGGGGAAUAUUGCACAAUGGGCGCAAGCCUGAUGCAGCCAUGCCGCGUGUGUGAAGAAGGCCUUCGGGUUGUAAAGCACUUUCAGCGGGGAGGAAGGCGAUACGGUUAAUAACCGUGUUGAUUGACGUUACCCGCAGAAGAAGCACCGGCUAACUCCGUGCCAGCAGCCGCGGUAAUACGGAGGGUGCAAGCGUUAAUCGGAAUUACUGGGCGUAAAGCGCACGCAGGCGGUCUGUCAAGUCGGAUGUGAAAUCCCCGGGCUCAACCUGGGAACUGCAUUCGAAACUGGCAGGCUUGAGUCUUGUAGAGGGGGGUAGAAUUCCAGGUGUAGCGGUGAAAUGCGUAGAGAUCUGGAGGAAUACCGGUGGCGAAGGCGGCCCCCUGGACAAAGACUGACGCUCAGGUGCGAAAGCGUGGGGAGCAAACAGGAUUAGAUACCCUUGUAGUCCC
rnacentral:rRNA from 1 species